GAGUUUGAUCCUGGCUCAGGACGAACGCUGGCGGCGUGCCUAAUACAUGCAAGUCGAACGAACUCUGGUAUUGAUUGGUGCUUGCAUCAUGAUUUACAUUUGAGUGAGUGGCGAACUGGUGAGUAACACGUGGGAAACCUGCCCAGAAGCGGGGGAUAACACCUGGAAACAGAUGCUAAUACCGCAUAACAACUUGGACCGCAUGGUCCGAGUUUGAAAGAUGGCUUCGGCUAUCACUUUUGGAUGGUCCCGCGGCGUAUUAGCUAGAUGGUGAGGUAACGGCUCACCAUGGCAAUGAUACGUAGCCGACCUGAGAGGGUAAUCGGCCACAUUGGGACUGAGACACGGCCCAAACUCCUACGGGAGGCAGCAGUAGGGAAUCUUCCACAAUGGACGAAAGUCUGAUGGAGCAACGCCGCGUGAGUGAAGAAGGGUUUCGGCUCGUAAAACUCUGUUGUUAAAGAAGAACAUAUCUGAGAGUAACUGUUCAGGUAUUGACGGUAUUUAACCAGAAAGCCACGGCUAACUACGUGCCAGCAGCCGCGGUAAUACGUAGGUGGCAAGCGUUGUCCGGAUUUAUUGGGCGUAAAGCGAGCGCAGGCGGUUUUUUAAGUCUGAUGUGAAAGCCUUCGGCUCAACCGAAGAAGUGCAUCGGAAACUGGGAAACUUGAGUGCAGAAGAGGACAGUGGAACUCCAUGUGUAGCGGUGAAAUGCGUAGAUAUAUGGAAGAACACCAGUGGCGAAGGCGGCUGUCUGGUCUGUAACUGACGCUGAGGCUCGAAAGUAUGGGUAGCAAACAGGAUUAGAUACCCUGGUAGUCCAUACCGUAAACGAUGAAUGCUAAGUGUUGGAGGGUUUCCGCCCUUCAGUGCUGCAGCUAACGCAUUAAGCAUUCCGCCUGGGGAGUACGGCCGCAAGGCUGAAACUCAAAGGAAUUGACGGGGGCCCGCACAAGCGGUGGAGCAUGUGGUUUAAUUCGAAGCUACGCGAAGAACCUUACCAGGUCUUGACAUACUAUGCAAAUCUAAGAGAUUAGACGUUCCCUUCGGGGACAUGGAUACAGGUGGUGCAUGGUUGUCGUCAGCUCGUGUCGUGAGAUGUUGGGUUAAGUCCCGCAACGAGCGCAACCCUUAUUAUCAGUUGCCAGCAUUAAGUUGGGCACUCUGGUGAGACUGCCGGUGACAAACCGGAGGAAGGUGGGGAUGACGUCAAAUCAUCAUGCCCCUUAUGACCUGGGCUACACACGUGCUACAAUGGAUGGUACAACGAGUUGCGAACUCGCGAGAGUAAGCUAAUCUCUUAAAGCCAUUCUCAGUUCGGAUUGUAGGCUGCAACUCGCCUACAUGAAGUCGGAAUCGCUAGUAAUCGCGGAUCAGCAUGCCGCGGUGAAUACGUUCCCGGGCCUUGUACACACCGCCCGUCACACCAUGAGAGUUUGUAACACCCAAAGUCGGUGGGGUAACCUUUUAGGAACCAGCCGCCUAAGGUGGGACAGAUGAUUAGGGUGAAGUCGUAACAAGGUAGCCGUAG
rnacentral:rRNA from 1 species